UGGGGAAUAUUGGACAAUGGGCGCAAGCCUGAUCCAGCCAUGCCGCGUGAGUGAUGAAGGCCCUAGGGUUGUAAAGCUCUUUCACCGGUGAAGAUAAUGACGGUAACCGGAGAAGAAGCCCCGGCUAACUUCGUGCCAGCAGCCGCGGUAAUACGAAGGGGGCUAGCGUUGUUCGGAUUUACUGGGCGUAAAGCGCACGUAGGCGGACUUUUAAGUCAGGGGUGAAAUCCCGGGGCUCAACCCCGGAACUGCCUUUGAUACUGGAAGUCUUGAGUAUGGUAGAGGUGAGUGGAAUUCCGAGUGUAGAGGUGAAAUUCGUAGAUAUUCGGAGGAACACCAGUGGCGAAGGCGGCUCACUGGACCAUUACUGACGCUGAGGUGCGAAAAGCGUGGGGAGCAAACAGGAUUAGAUACCCUGGUAGUCCACGCCGUAAAACGAUGAAUGUUAGCCGUUGGGGAGUUUACUCUUCGGUGGCGCAGCUAACGCAUUAAACAUUCCGCCUGGGGAGUACGGUCGCAAGA
rnacentral:rRNA from 1 species